UUUUGCCAACCUACAUCUGCUGGUCAUUCCCACAUCUAAACAGAGCAGCGCAUAGAUAUGUCACCCACCAACUUAUACCACCAACAACCACCACCCAGCCCCAAAUCCAGUUCCGGAGACAUCCACAUCCCGUUACUACCAUCGCUCACCACCGCUCUGCUUCGAAUCAACGUCACCUGCUAACAUCGAUCAACACCGCUCUACCCCAAAUCGAAAGGUCGCUGCUUUAUCUACUCUGUCAACCACAAACUAAGUGACGGUUUUUGUUAGACGAUUAGGGCUCCAACAGGUCAAAGAAAGAAAAGGACAUAAAAAAGUUGUUGUUCAUAAGCUUUAUGAUGCCUGUAGGGAGGUCAAAGGCGUUUGUUAAUUGUUGCUCAUCAGUUGUUUGAGAUGCUGAGGGUAUUCAACACCUGAAAGAUAUUUUAAGUAAGUUUUCCUUUUUAAAUUUUAUUGAUUUCCCUUCAGUUUUAGGGCCGUUCAAAUUACUCGCCGCUCGUCGCUCGCACGACGCUCGUUCGGAAAUUGUUUGAAAAAUGCUCGUUCGAUUUGACAUCUGUUUCUUCUAAUUUUGGUGCGAGGCCGUUUAGUAUUUUCGACUCGUGGAUAGAUAAGCCGGGUUUCAAAGAGGUGGUGGAGGGGGUGCUUGGAUCUCCUGUUAUGGAGGGCCCUCCCGAUGUUGUUUUGAUGAAGAAAUUGGGUUAACUUAGAGUUAAAUUGAAAGAGUGGAGGGACGAUAUAUUAAAAAGGAAUUUGGAGGAGGUUUCGCAGGCUUUGACCGAUCUUGAAAGUAUUGAGGCGUCGAUGGAGGAAAGCUAGCAACGUUAUUCAAGGAAAUUUUCAGAUUUUUCAGAGACAAGUUCAUUGAAGGAUGUAAAGAGUGACCUCGGUUGAACUGUGUGGGCAUCAACCAAAUUUCGGACUCCGAAGCGACGGAUUUGGAAGCUGCUUUUUCGCGUCAAGAGAUUAUAGGAGCCGUUUUCGAGUGUGGUGAUGACCGGGCCCCAGGCCCUGACGGUAUUAAUUUUUGCUUUGUUAAAGAAUUUUGGAUUUAUUAGAAGAUUAUUUCUAUAGAAUUAUGAGUGUUUUUUAUGAGUCUGGUUUGGUUAGAAUGGGCUGUGGUUCUUCAUUUAUUGCGCUUAUUCCAAAAGUUAAGGAUCCGCAAAGCUU
rnacentral:lncRNA from 1 species